AAGGCUUGACAUACACUGGACCGUUCUGGAAACAGUUCUUCUCUUUGGAGCUGGUGUACAGGUGGUGCAUGGUUGUCGUCAGCUCGUGUCGUGAGAUGUUGGGUUAAGUCCCGCAACGAGCGCAACCCUCGUUCUAUGUUGCCAGCACGUGAUGGUGGGAACUCAUAGGAGACUGCCGGGGUCAACUCGGAGGAAGGUGGGGAUGACGUCAAAUCAUCAUGCCCUUUAUGUCUUGGGCUUCACGCAUGCUACAAUGGCUGGUACAGAGAGAGGCGAACCCGUGGGGUGAGCGAAUCCCUUAAAGCCAGUCUCAGUUCGGAUCGUAGUCUGCAAUUCGACUACGUGAAGUCGGAGUCGCUAGUAAUCGCAGAUCAGCAACGCUGCGGUGAAUACGUUCCCGGGCC
rnacentral:rRNA from 1 species